rnacentral:rRNA from 2 species
AUGUGCUAUCAUACCAGCACUAAUGCAUUGGAUUCAAUCAGAAUUCCGCAGUUAAACGUGCUUGGGCGAGAGUAGUAUUAGGAUGAGUGACCUCCCAGAAAGUUCUCGUGUUGCACCCC